rnacentral:lncRNA from 1 species
CAACAACAAUCUAUAGACUCAUUAGCUUCAGUAGUAGCACAGAAUAGAUGUGCCCUUGAUGGCCUUAUAGCUGAAGUAGGGGGUACCUGUGUAGUCUUAAGUGAAUCGUGCUGCUUCGGAAUCAACACUCCUAAUCAAGUAGAAGAAAACCUACAGAAGACUGAAAUUCCAAGGAUAAAUGGAAAUGAUAGCUUCAGCUUUACUCGGGUGCUUCUACUGUGUUUGGGUAAAGAAGUAAGGCAAAGGCAGAUACCCAAAGAGAGAACUGAUGGCCAAUCCUGAAGAACAUCUCAACCAAAAUAAGGCUAAAGAGGAGAAGGAAAAGGAGAAGCUGUCUUCCUGGUCUCAAGGUGGCAGAGGCAGAUAUGUGGGUUUAUAUCUUAUAAAUCCACAUAUAAAAGCACACCUGCAGUUAAAAACCAUGCUGUUCAAGGGUCAUGCAGUUGAAGAGAUCUGGAAGUCAGUCUUCCAAAUAGGAUGUUUAUCUGAAAUAUCAAUCAAAAGAAAUCCUAGGAUCUAUGGAAUAAAAUAUUGAAGAACAAACAACCAAAGAGCUAAGUAGCAAAUGGAAUCUAACAAUAUGGGAAAUUAUGUUUUUUAAAAAGCAUAAAGAAAGAGGAGCUUUAAGAAGCCACUUCAGUCAUGCUAUACCGAGAUCCUCAACAUAUUCUCAGUGGCCAAAAGUAUUUUUGGAUUUUGCAGUUGAAAGCAAGAAAAAAAAAUCCAUAUCUUCUGUUCCAGACUUAAUUCCAAAUGUGCUUGCAUUUGUUUAUGAAAAAUAAAAAAAAAUCACAAAUUUUUAUUCCUGAAACUUAAGCCAUCUGUGUCCCUAAGAAAUGGAAAAGUAUAUCAGAUAAUAAAGACUAAAGUUUGGCUGCAAGUGGAAAUUUAUUAUAUAUGGAGUUUAUUUUUUAAUGUGGGCCAAUUUUUUUUCUUUUUUUUUCUAUUCUUCUUCUUUUCUUUCUUUCUUUUUUUUUGAGAUGGAGUUUUGCUCUUGUUGCCCAGGCUGGAGUACAGUGGCGAGAUCUUGUCUCAUUGCAACCUCUGGCUCCAAGGUUUAAGCUAUUCUCCUGCCUCAGCCUUUCAAGUAGUUGGGAUUACAGAUGCCCCCCAAUCACGCUCAGGUAAUUUAUAUAUGUGUGUGUGUGUGUGUGUGUGUGGUGUGUAUAUAUAUGUGUGUGUGUGUAUAUAUACAUAUAAAUAUGCUUAUAUAUAUAUAUAUAUAUAUAUAUAUAUAUAUAUUUAGCAGAGAUGGAGUUUCACUGUGUUGCCCAG